ACCCUGCGCAAGACGCUGGAUGUCGUGGCUGAUUUCAC
rnacentral:tRNA from 1 species